GUGUCAGAUGAUUUUGCCCAGCUGCAGGAUAAUGUAGGUAUUCCAAAGGUGUUUCAGGUUGCCUAGGCCUGAGCAAUCAUGUUUGGCCUGUCACAUGUAUUAAAUCAAUUUCAACUUAGGAAAUUUUCAGUUUACCAUGGGUUUAUCAGAAGCUAAACCCAUCAAAAGUCAGGGACAACUGUAUUCAGCGUAGAGUUCAGUCACACAUUUCAGUAGCAUAUGAAGCGGUUUGGAAGCAUUGUGCAAGAGUUAAGUCCCUCACCCCAAAUGCAGUGACGCAGAGAGCUACAAGAUGAGGUGCAUCUUCAUCUUCCCCUUCUGGCACAACCUAAAGCCAAACUGGCAGAGAAGAAAACCACCAAAAAGUACAGCCAGCAUGUGGGUAGGGUUGGAUUCGCAGCCUCUGGCCUGUGACUUUGCGUGACUACUUUGCGCGACUACUUUGUGUGACUCCUCAAAGCACAGGCAGUUGAGAGUCUGAUGACACUCAAGGCCACGCGCUGUGAUGUCCAAAAUUAACUCAGCUGCUAACUGUGCUACUGCCUCCGCGGUUUGAUUGCACCCUGCCUUCCUUGAGAACGCCCCCAAGGGAUAAAGAGGAUGUUGCUCAUAUGUGCAUUUCUGAGUUUUUUUUUUUUCUUAGUGGACAGAAAUUUUCCAUUGUGUGGGGAUUUUUUGGUCUCAUCUGAAAUCUGGUUUCCACGUAGCCUGGCGCUAUUAGUCCAGUCAUUUUACCUGACCUCUUUCUUUACUUUGGGCACAAGACAAGGCCGAGCUCAUUCUUUCGUGACAGCCACUCUGCCACCUAAGCAGAACUAACCGUCAAAAGAGCAGGCGAAUUGUAAUUCUUAAAAAAUCCAUAAGCCAGCAGUUCCUUUUAACCACAGUGACUUUCCCGGCUGGCUCGUUGUGCUGAGGCAGCGGCGCGGCUGCACAGCAGAGCGAGGCUUGGCCCCGCCUCCCUUGGCAGGAGGGCGCUGUGGCGCGUGCAAGCUCUGCUGUCCUGCCCUUCCUGUGGGACCCAGUAUGGCGUUCUAGUGAUUGUUAGCAUGCGGACUGAAUAAACGCUCGGCUUCACUGAUGUUCCCAGCCUUACAUUUGCUAAACUGUGUCAACCAGAUGGCAGCAAGGACAUCUGUGGCAGUACAGAAAUCAAGAGAUGAGAAAAGGAAAUAAAGGAAGACGAGGUCUGGCGCCAUGGCUCCAACCCUAGUGCCGAACCUGAGCAGGCAGAGGGCUCCACGCAGGACCCCCAGGUCAAGCUGGUGACCCCCGUCUGCCCUUAGUGAUGUGGCCAGGGACCUCCAUUCUGUUUUCCACCACAGGACUGCACUUAUAUAUGAUGUCUGAAAUAGUCAAACUCAUAGAAGCAGAGACAGAACGGCAGCUCCGGAGCUGAAUCAAAAUGCACGCAGCACAUGGAGACCCAGGAUGGCCCCAGCCAGCCCUGGCGAGUGGCAGACCAGUUCCCUCAGUGUCGUUGUCCUGUCUCCUCGGUUGUGGUGUCUUGAGAAGGUGUCGUUCUGUUAAAGUUCACAAGUAGAGUUUUCCUUAAAUUAAAGUUAAAAUUUCA